rnacentral:sRNA from 1 species
GGCCUAAGUCUUACAAAAUUGUAAGAUAUGGUAUAAAAACCUAACCAAUAAAGGUGGUCUUCUGAUCACAGCAACUUAUUGGUUAGGUCUAUGCCCGAAAGGGUAUAGGAUAGUUUGAAAGAACUGUC